GAUGAACGCUGGCGGCGUGCCUAAUACAUGCAAGUCGAGCGAACAGAUGAGGAGCUUGCUCCUCUGACGUUAGCGGCGGACGGGUGAGUAACACGUGGAUAACCUACCUAUAAGACUGGGAUAACUUCGGGAAACCGGAGCUAAUACCGGAUAAUAUAUUGAACCGCAUGGUUCAAUAGUGAAAGACGGUUUUGCUGUCACUUAUAGAUGGAUCCGCGCCGCAUUAGCUAGUUGGUAAGGUAACGGCUUACCAAGGCAACGAUGCGUAGCCGACCUGAGAGGGUGAUCGGCCACACUGGAACUGAGACACGGUCCAGACUCCUACGGGAGGCAGCAGUAGGGAAUCUUCCGCGAUGGGCGAAAGCCUGACGGAUCAACGCCGCGUGAGUGAUGAAGGUCUUCGGAUCGUAAAACUCUGUUAUUAGGGAAGAACAAAUGUGUAAGUAACUAUUCACGUCUUGACGGUACCUAAUCAGAAAGCCACGGCUAACUACGUG
rnacentral:rRNA from 1 species